rnacentral:misc_RNA from 1 species
GAAACCCAUUGUAAGGAGUAAUCUGCAUCUGGCAUUGAUAAUAUCAAUGAAUGUGAAGAGACUCCCUGGGUGUGCAGCCAGUUGUGUGAGAAUACUGUGGGCUCUUUCUCUGUAAGUGUGUCCAUGGCUACCUAGAGACAGCUGAUGGGUGGACCUGCAAAAGAAGAGACAAUAUCAAUGAAUGUGAAGAGACUCGAUCCCUGGGUGUGCAGCCAGUUGUGUGAGAAUACUGUGGGCUCUUUCCACUAUAAGUGUGUCCAUGGCUACCUAGAGACAGCUGAUGGGUGGACCUGCAAAAGAAGAGACAGCAUUUAAUUCCAGAUAUAUUUACUGGACAGACUGGGGUCAUAUCUUUUACAUUGCUGGUGUACGUGGGAGUGGACAUCACCAACUGGUCAUCUGUGAUCACGGAGAAACUGGACUGGCCUAAUUCCUUGACCACUGACUAUGUCACCAGGGGGAUGUGGUGGGCUGAUGUUCAUCUGGAUUACAUUGAGUUAGUCUCAUAUUUUAGUUAUAGAUUUAUUUUCUAGGAUAAUAUCGUGGAAUACUCAUUUUUAUGAUUGGGAAAAUGUGGCUAAAUUAAUAUUUGUUUAUAUAUGCUUAAUAUGCCUUCCCCCUUUUUUUUUUUUGAUAAAAUUGUAUUAUUUUGUUUAUAACAUCUUCAGUUGGGGAAUGUAACCAAAAUAAUUUGGUAUAUGGUACUGUCACAGGUUAUUACCUGCACUACAGCCAAGCAGGUCUGGAGGUUGUUAAGUUGAUUUUCUUCUAAUGGAGACAGUUCACUGCGGGUUUGGAGCUUUUCUUUUUCCAUUUAAUAUAUAUUAAAUGACAUGAAAUCUAAAAUACAUAUGUACAUUAGAUUUCAGGUAUGCCAACCUUGAUGGCAGCAACAGACAGUUAAUUGGUCAUAUCAGAAGUCAGAAUAGUCCACAUAUUUGCCAUUGCUGUGUUUGAAGACUGGAUAUAUUGGACUGACUGGAACCAUCUGAGUAUUGAAGAAGCUCACAAGUUUACCUAUUUUAGGGACAACAAUGGUGGCUGCUCUCACUUGUGCCUCAUCACACCAGGGGGCGCUGGAUUCAGGUGUGACUGUGUCUCGUGGAUGCAAUGGAACCAAAGUACAACAAAAUGGAGAAUUUCGAAGACUACAACAAACCAACCAAUUUCUCCACCCCAGUGUAUGACAAUAAAACACGAUUAGAACCUGCUAAAUCCAUGAAAAUAAAAAAGGACAUCUCCAGUCCCACUCACUCCAAUGGAGUAUUAGACAACCAGUCAUCAGAGAUCACAGUCCAUAUACCACAUAAGGAACUCUGUCUAUCAGUAACGGAAAACCAAUUACAACACUGAUGUUUUAGUCACUAAUAGAGAUUUAUGAGACCAAAGAUUUUUUGAGUAUAAAAACUCUUGAUGAUCAUUCCACAGUUGCAGCAAAAUUCGAGAGAGAAUAUGUCUCGCACAAAGCAGAAUAGAUGUUGGUAGUUAUGAUGGAACUUUAUUAUGAAGUGUUAUAUUAAACCCAUACAAAAUAUUUGUUCUUGUAUGGGUGCAGCUUUCCAACUCUGAUGAAGAAUUGGAAUUCCUGUUUACUAAAUAAUUCCAGAUAAAAUGUUACGCUGUUAAAGAGUCAGUC